rnacentral:lncRNA from 1 species
UUGGCUUGUUGUCUAGAAUAUUCAUCUCCACCCCCUAGACUUUAGUGCAAUCUAAUCACAAACUCUUUUCAUAAACCGUUGUUUAAGGUAAAAUCAACACAACCCAUCAAACCUUAUUUUUUUGUGCUUUAGGGCACUACCCGAAAACCCUUUUUAUCAAAGGUAAAAUCUAUCCAACACACAAACAUUUUAUACUUCGAACUACGGAGCUCUGAUUUCUCAUCCCCGAAUGAGUGAUACAUAGGCACAAGGGCCCCAAUCCUUGGAGAGCACUAU